CGGAGAGAUGGCCGAGUGGCUGAAGGCGGCGGUUUGCUAAACCGUUAUAGGGUCAAAAGCUCUAUCGGGGGUUCGAAUCCCCCUCUCUCCGCCAU
rnacentral:tRNA from 1 species